UACGGAGGAGGCAAGCGUUAUCCGGAAUUAUUGGGCGUAAAGCGUCCGCAGAUGGCACUUCAAGUCUGUCGUCAAAGACUGGGGCUUAACCCUGGAAAGGCGGUGGAAACUGAAGCGCUAGAGUGCGGUAGGGGUAGAGGGAAUUCCCGGUGUAGCGGUGAAAUGCGUAGAUAUCUGGAGGAACACCAAUGGCGAAGGCAACUUCCUGGGGCAAUACUGACACUGAUGUGCGAAAGCGUGGGGAGCAAACAGG
rnacentral:rRNA from 1 species